rnacentral:rRNA from 1 species
UAUCUCUGUAGAGUCUGCAUAUCAAUAAGCGGAGGAAAAGAAACUAACUAAGGAUUCCCUCAGUAACGGCGAGUGAAGCGGGAAGAGCUCAAAUUUGAAAUCUUCAAGGUUCUACCUUGACGAAUUGUAGUUUAAAGAAGUGUUUUCUGUUGAAGUUUUGGUAAAAGUUCUUUGGAAUAGGACAUCAUAGAGGGUGAGAAUCCCGUAUUUGACCAUUAUUUUCCAGCUUUGUGAUACACUUUCAAAGAGUCGGAUUGUUUGGGAAUGCAGUCCAAAAUGGGUGGUAAAUUUCAUCUAAAGCUAAAUACUGGCGAGAGACCGAUAGCGAACAAGUACCGUGAGGGAAAGAUGAAAAGAACUUUGAGAAGAGAGUUAAACAGUACGUGAAAUUGUCAAAAGGGAAGCGUUUGACACCAGUGUUGUUUUCUCGAAAAUCAAUUAAAAAUGGCAGGAUUUUGUGUUGUAUUGACUUUAUCAGCUUUCUGCACUUUUUUCUUGUCUUUUUUAAUGCACUUUCCGUUUAACAAGUCAACAUCAAUUUCUUUUGUUGUAAAAGGGUCAUUGGAAGGUGGCUUUCUUUUCGGAGAAAGUGUUUAUAGCCUUUGGCCUCUGCAAUCGGAGAGAUUGAGGUCUGCAGCGUAGAUCCUUCGGGGUUAGAUACAGUUUGUGCUAAGUUAUAGCCUUUCAUAGACAACUUGUUGACUAUGAUCAGUCAUGUAGCUUACUCGCUUAUGCUAUUUUACCUACGCUUAGGAUGUUGAUGUGAUACUGCGAGCA